GCAUCAGGAGGUGGAGCUUUGUUUCCAGAGCUGGCUUUCUGCCUCUGAAGAUGACUUUUCGCUUCUAGUCCAGUUCUGGUUUCUCCUGCUGCUCUCUGGAGGCCAGGAAGUUCUCCACCUGGGGAAGGAGUAACAGACUGCUUUAUGACGGACAGACACACAGAUACUCUGGGUUGUAGAAAUGCCAAGCCUCACACGGGAAGCACAUUGCUGCCAUCUAGUGGUCGAGGUCUCUGCAUUGGUUAGGAACCACCCAGAACUAGAAUGAAAUAUGCUGACUCAUGAUGGAUCAGAAAGGAAAUGAUGCAGAGGGGAUGGGAUGGGCUGGACCAGACAGCACAGGGGGCACAGCAGGGCCAUGCAAUCUUAGGACCACGCUUCGCCAUGAGCUGUACCUGGAACUCCGACCACAGGUCCUUUCCUGAUAUGUGCACUACUGAUGGGAUAUGGUGGUGGUCCAUGAGGUGAUAGGUCACCGAGAUCCAAUCUGGCAGCAGAAAUAUGACCUGGGCCAUGUCUUUGUCUGCUGGUUUAGAUUGGUCCCUAUGGAAACGAUCCACCACUUUCUGAAAGGGAUGAGAAAUAUGAGCCCAUGCAUCAACCCAAAGGUGGAAACAAUUACAGCAGACGGUCUGAGUUCUAUAGAACCAGGCGGGAAGAUGCAAGUCCAUGAAGAGGCAGGUCAGCCAGCCUUCCUACCUGCACACCAAGGGCCUCCAGCUUGGACCUUGGACGAUUGGCGUUCAAAGGCUGAUCGUCAAGCCUGAAGGUCACGCGUCUGGAAUACAGGAAGUCACUUCGGUGCACAAAGGUUUCCUCCAGGACCUGUGGCGAUACCACUCUUUGCUGCACACCAGGUACCCCUUCGUAGGUUUCAAACCGCAUCAUCCGUUCAAUACCAGAACUCACUGGUUUCCAACUGUGAACUGAACAGAGCAGAACCAGAAUUAGAACCAAUUUGUGGUUGCCGUGACCCGGAUGACUGAGAAUUUACACCGGCAUUCCUGAAAAGCUUUCUGAUAGUGAUCGUCCUGGAGCCAAACAGAAGUGCCUAAACAUCAGAAGACAGUCAGAGUUUGAUCUGAUGAAGUACCCAGCAGGGUUCAGCAUAGGCCAGGACUAUGACUUCAGACCAGACUUGGUUUCGUCAGAAAGGAUUGGUGACAUGACUUGGAAGUGACUCGAUGCUCCCUUCAAAACAAAGUUACUAAGCAUAACAAUAAGGAAAAAUACCGAUCCACAUUGUUUCUUUGCUCAUGUCACCAUUUUUGGAAAGGCUUAUUCUGCCUCUUAGAUUUGGACCCAAGAUUCUGCAGCUAACCGAAACGGCUUGUUUAAAAACCACUGUGCCCAAUUCAGCAAACUCUGCUGUGACUUGAUGUAAAGCUAUUGCAUGAUAAUAGCCUCACAACCAUCAUUUGAAAAAAUGAUUUCUGAUGAUUUGUGUUCUUGAUUAUUAAAUGAUUAAGAAACUCCCAAAAAUCAAAUCUAUAUCAAAUUAUACAAAUAAUUAGCCGUUUAAUAUCAGCGGUAACCAUGUUUGACUGUAUGAAGUAAGCAGACAUGCUGAAUGACGACAGCGCUCUAAGAGUGCUUUGGUGAUGGGUCGGAGAUUUAACACACUAGAACCAAAAUGUUCCACUCAAAACCAAGCAUGACCUGCUUCUGCUUUGCUCACAGAAGACAAAUUAGUCCAUUCCGUCUAUAGUUCUCGUUCAGGAGAAGACUUACAUAAAAGGGUCCCAAAUCCAUCAGAGUUGAAGCGCUCAGUAGUGACGUUCUCCACCAUGUUCAUUUCUCUCUCCUCCAAAUCAUCACUUCUGUUUUGGUACCACUCUUUUACCCUGGUGACCUCUGUGCCUGAAACAUAGGAUCAUAGAUGUAGGCAGAAGGAACAACCUCUGAACAUUAAAUUGUUUCUGUCUGACUAACAGUCCAGGUCUUUGUAGGUGGUUAAUCUGCGGAGGAGGCCAUCUUUGGUCAAAGCUGGUGAAAACCUCUCCAGCUUUGCCUUUAUGAAGCGCGUCUCCUUCUUUCCCCCUGGAAACCUUUUCUUCAGGUCUGAAUGACAGCAGGACAGAUGUUUGAGGACCAGUUUGUCCAACUGCUGUUGGCCGAGUGCUUUUUGUAAGACCUUCUCCCAGAGGUUGCGGUCUUCAAAAUUGAAGCACAAGUCCUGCUGACAGCAGAAGCAUCCCGAUCAGAGGGCUGAUGUUCUAUGUGGACCGGUUCUGACCGGGAUCAGCUGCUGUGGACUCACCUUGCAGCCAUCGAUGCACCGCUGCAUGUUGACAUAGCAGUUGUAGUUGUCCCAUACGCUCUCUAUGGACUGGAAGUUCUUGUCGUUUGUGGGAAAACUGCUUCCUGUGAGGGGGUCGAUGAAGAAGUUCUCCUCGAUGUCGCAUUUUCCCGACAGAACCAGAACCCAGCAGUGAAUCCGAAGUCCUUCCAGGGGGUCAGGAAGACGUCGACUUUCAAUCUGUUUGUGAAAACAAAAGCUAGAAGUUUGAUGAGGUGCUGAGAAGAAGUCAGACGGGAACCACCUGACAUAAAACAGGAAGCUGUUUGCUAACUUCCCUCUAUGGAGCAAAAAGCUCCAACCCAACCUGGACCGAGAGGACCACCUCAAUAACUGCACCAAGCAGCCUCUGACCCUCCAGUUGCCCAGAGGAGCUCUGUGAGGCAGGCUCCUGCAUAUUACUGGACAUUAUCAUUCCAUGAUGCUAAACUGUGUUGAGUGUUGUUAUUUUGAACCUGAGUGGAAGCCUGAAUGGAGUGAGAUUGCCACCUGCUGGUGAGCUUUUUCAGCACUUUGGAAACUUCAGAGCAACAUCCUUGUGAGUGGCUGCAUGUAGCUGGUGCUGACAGUUUCCUUUAUGGUUGAUGUUCUUUACUAACUUAUCAUAAGUAAUCAUUUGGUGUUCAUUAUGUUACACCAGUUUAAUUUGUGUUGCGUAAUCAUAUUUGAAUUUAUUAGACUGUUAUUAGUUAUUAUGCUGCAUCCUGUUAGCUUCUCACUUGCAAAUAUGCUGUGUGCUUAGUGAGGUGUUCCCAUUAUUUUAAUGCUGUUUUAUGUUUGGUUGGUAACUCUAGUAUCUUAGAUUUAUGAUCUGUUAUUAGUCACCAUUUUGACUUGACAUGCUCCUGUUAAACAUCUCAGUUGAUUUAACUUGUUUGUAAGCCAUUCCCAUGAGCUGUUUGAUAGUUAAUAGGCAUGUAAAGUGAGUUUAUGGCAGCAGAUGUCACUGCUGCAAUAUGUAUCCUAUGAGAACUCAUGGUCUUAAUCUUGUUGUGAUUUAGACCACUUCUUCUUCUAUAAGUCUCUUCAUCUUUUACAUGUUGUACAACUACUCAAACAGCUCAAUUAAUAUUAAAGUGAAAUUCC